rnacentral:rRNA from 1 species
GAUGAACGCUGGCGGCGUGCCUAAUAUAUGCAAGUUGAGCGAAUGGAUUGAGAGCUUGCUCUUAUGAAGUUAGCGGCGGACGGGUGAGUAACACGUGGGUAACCUGCCCAUAAGACUGGGAUAACUCCGGGAAACCGGGGCUAAUACCGGAUAACAUUUUGAACCGCAUGGUUCGAAAUUGAAAGGCGGCUUCGGCUGCCACUUAUGGAUGGACCCGCGUCGCAUUAGCUAGUUGGUGAGGUAACGGCUCACCAAGGCAACGAUGCGUAGCCGACCUGAGAGGGUGAUCGGCCACACUGGGACUGAGACACGGCCCAGACUCCUACGGGAGGCAGCAGUAGGGAAUCUUCCGCAAUGGACGAAAGUCUGACGGAGCAACGCCGCGUGAGUGAUGAAGGCUUUCGGGUCGUAAAACUCUGUUGUUAGGGAAGAACAAGUGCUAGUUGAAUAAGCUGGCACCUUGACGGUACCUAACCAGAAAGCCACGGCUAACUACGUGCCAGCCGCCGCAGUAA